AGCAGCCGCGGUAAUUCCAGCUCCAAUAGCGUAUAUUAAAGUUGUUGCAGUUAAAAAGCUCGUAGUUGAAUUUCGGGAUUAGUACGCUGGUCGUGCCUUCGGUAUGUACUGGUGUUACUGAUUCCUACCUUCUGAAGAACCGUCAUGUCAUUAAUUUGGUGUGGCGGGGAAUCAGGACUGUUACUUUGAAAAAAUUAGAGUGUUUAAAGCAGGCUCGCGCUUGAAUACAUUAGCAUGGAAUAAUGAAAUAGGACGUUCGAUCCUAUUUUGUUGGUUUCUAGGAUUGACGUAAUGAUUAAUAGGGAUAGUUGGGGGCAUUAGUAUUCAAUUGUCAGAGGUGAAAUUCUUGGAUUUAUUGAAGACUAACUACUGCGAAAGCAUUUGACAAGGAUGUUUUCAUUAAUCAAGAACGAAAGUUAGGGGAUCGAAGACGAUCAGAUACCGUCGUAGUCUUAACCAUAAACUAUGCCGACUAGGGAUCGGAUGAUGUUAAUUUUUAAUGACUCAUUCGGCGCCUUAA
rnacentral:rRNA from 1 species